ACAAGAAGUGGUCCUGAAUUGCUAAACUUGCACAAGCCACCGAGGCAGCAUCAGUGUCAUCAACCUCUGAUCCGACAGAGUUUGUCAAAACAGGUAUUCCUGAACCAAGACCAACAAGUACACUGCUAACACAAAUUUUCAACAGUGAAGGCUGCCUAGUAUUCAGCUUAUUUGAUUUAGGAGAACUAUCUUAUCCCUCACCCAUUCUGAACAAGACCACUUUAGAUUCAAAAGUGGCAACGAUAAAAAAAAAAACUCAAAGCCAAAGUGAAAAUCUUGGAUGGCCAAACUGAAGUUGAAUGCGAGAAGUAUUGAAGAGAAACAGGCAUGAAAAGGUGCUCUGCAAAGAGCAGAAGGUUUUCAGGUGAAAAACAAUGUGGAAUUGCUUGCUAAAUCUAUUAAGAAACAAGAUGAAAUCAAAUCAAAUUGUAAAAGAAGUUGGCUGAACGCAUCGAAGAAUAGGAAAAGAGAAAGGAAUAACAACAGAAAACGAGAAAAGCCAACAUUAAGAAAAAGAAAACUGAAAAGAAAGAACAUAAACCGAAUGAACACCGCACACUUAACAGAGAAAAAGCUGGAAUUGUCUGAUAAGACAACGAAAAUCAAACUUUAACGGAAGUUCGAGGGAAUGAAGAAGAAAUUAAAAAGGAAAAGUAAGAAGAAGAGGUCCUGAAUUGCCAAACAUGCUCGAGCCACCAAGGCAGCAUCUGUGUCAUCAACCUCUGGUCUUUCAGAGUUUGUUAAAACAGAAAUUCCUGAAGCAAGACUAGCAAGUACUCUGCCAACACCGAUUUUUAACAGUGGAGGCUGCCUAGUUUCCGGCAAAUUUGACUUUGGAGAACUAUCUAAUUCCUCACCCAUUCUGAAUAAGACCACUUUAGAUCCAGAAGUGGCAACGAUUAAAAUGAAAGAAAAUAAAACUUAAACCAAAAAUGAAAAUCUUGGUAGGCCAAGCUGAAGUUGAAAAUGCAAGAAGUAUUGAAGAGAAACAGGCACGAAAUGGUGCUCUGCAAUUAGCUGAAGGUUUUCAGGUAAAAGACUAUGUGGAAUUGCUUGCCAAACCAAUUAAUGAACGAGAUCAAAUCAAAUCAGAGAGUAACAAAAAUUGCGCUGAACGAAUCGAAGAAAAGGAAAAGAGAAGGGAAUAACAACAGAAAAGGAGAAAAGCCAACAUUAAGGAAAAGAAAACUGAAAAGAAAGAACAUAAAGUGAAUAAACUAAAGAAAAAAGGCAAAUUUAUCGCAUGAAAGACUGAUACUGACUGAUGGAUCAGCUAAACUUGUGUUCUUUCAUGUGCAGCCAUGUCGUGAUAGUUUUUUAGAAAAAUACACUGAUAUGCCUUCCAUGAUC